GACGAACGCUGGCGGCGUGCCUAAUACAUGCAAGUCGAGCGGACGAUUCGAAAGCUUGCUUUUGCAUCGUUAGCGGCGGACGGGUGAGUAACACGUGGGCAACCUGCCCUGUAGACGGGGAUAACACCGAGAAAUCGGUGCUAAUACCGGAUAACACGAAAUGUCGCAUGACGUUUCGUUGAAAGGCGGCGCAAGCUGCCGCUACAGGAUGGGCCCGCGGCGCAUUAGCUAGUUGGUGAGGUAACGGCUCACCAAGGCGACGAUGCGUAGCCGACCUGAGAGGGUGAUCGGCCACACUGGGACUGAGGCACGGCCCAGACUCCUACGGGAGGCAGCAGUAGGGAAUCUUCCGCAAUGGACGAAAGUCUGACGGAGCAACGCCGCGUGAGCGAAGAAGGCCUUCGGGUCGUAAAGCUCUGUUGUUAGGGAAGAACAAGUAACGUAGUAACUGACGUUACUAUGACGGUACCUAACGAGAAAGCCACGGCUAACUACGUG
rnacentral:rRNA from 1 species